CGGGUGAGUAACGCGUGGAUAACCUGCCUCACACAGGGGGAUAACAGUUAGAAAUGACUGCUAAUACCGCAUAAGCGCACGGUGCCGCAUGGUACAGUGUGAAAAACUCCGGUGGUGUGAGAUGGAUCCGCGUCUGAUUAGGUAGUUGGUGAGGUAACGGCCCACCAAGCCGACGAUCAGUAGCCGACCUGAGAGGGUGACCGGCCACAUUGGGACUGAGACACGGCCCAA
rnacentral:rRNA from 1 species